UACAAUGGAGAGUUUGAUCCUGGCUCAGGAUGAACGCUAGCGGCAGGCCUAACACAUGCAAGUCGAGGGGCAGCGGGGUUGAAGCUUGCUUCAACUGCCGGCGACCGGCGCACGGGUGCGUAACGCGUAUGCAACCUACCCAGAACAGGGGGAUAACACUGAGAAAUCGGUACUAAUACCCCAUAACAUACUGAAAGGCAUCUUUCGGUGUUGAAAACUCCGGUGGUUCUGGAUGGGCAUGCGUUGUAUUAGCUGGUUGGUGAGGUAACGGCUCACCAAGGCGACGAUACAUAGGGGGACUGAGAGGUUAACCCCCCACAUUGGUACUGAGACACGGACCAAACUCCUACGGGAGGCAGCAGUGAGGAAUAUUGGUCAAUGGACGCAAGUCUGAACCAGCCAUGCCGCGUGCAGGAAGACGGCUCUAUGAGUUGUAAACUGCUUUUGUACGGGGGUAAACUCGGAUACGUGUAUCUGACUGAAAGUACCGUACGAAUAAGGAUCGGCUAACUCCGUGCCAGCAGCCGCGGUAAUACGGAGGAUCCAAGCGUUAUCCGGAUUUAUUGGGUUUAAAGGGUGCGUAGGCGGUUUGAUAAGUUAGAGGUGAAAUCCCGGGGCUUAACUCCGGCACUGCCUCUGAUACUGUUGGACUAGAGAGUAGUUGCGGUAGGCGGAAUGUAUGGUGUAGCGGUGAAAUGCUUAGAGAUCAUACAGAACACCGAUUGCGAAGGCAGCUUACCAAACUAUAUCUGACGUUGAGGCACGAAAGCGUGGGGAGCAAACAGGAUUAGAUACCCUGGUAGUCCACGCAGUAAACGAUGAUAACUCGCUGUCGGCGAUACACAGUCGGUGGCUAAGCGAAAGCGAUAAGUUAUCCACCUGGGGAGUACGUUCGCAAGAAUGAAACUCAAAGGAAUUGACGGGGGCCCGCACAAGCGGAGGAACAUGUGGUUUAAUUCGAUGAUACGCGAGGAACCUUACCCGGGCUUGAAAGUUAUCGACGGACUUGGAAACAGGUCUUCCCUUCGGGGCGAGAAACUAGGUGCUGCAUGGUUGUCGUCAGCUCGUGCCGUGAGGUGUCGGGUUAAGUCCCAUAACGAGCGCAACCCCUACCGUUAGUUGCCAUCAGGUGAAGCUGGGCACUCUGGCGGGACUGCCGGUGUAAGCCGAGAGGAAGGUGGGGAUGACGUCAAAUCAGCACGGCCCUUACGUCCGGGGCUACACACGUGUUACAAUGGCAGGUACAGAGGGCAGCUACCCCGCGAGGGGAUGCGAAUCUCGAAAGCCUGUCUCAGUUCGGAUUGGAGGCUGAAACCCGCCUCCAUGAAGUUGGAUUCGCUAGUAAUCGCGCAUCAGCCAUGGCGCGGUGAAUACGUUCCCGGGCCUUGUACACACCGCCCGUCAAGCCAUGGAAGCUGGGGGUGCUUGAAGUUCGUGACCGCAAGGAGCGACCUAGGGCAAAACCGGUGACUGGGGCUAAGUCGUAACAAGGUAGCCGUACCGGAAGGUGCGGCUGGAACACCUCCUUUCUGGA
rnacentral:rRNA from 1 species